UACGUAGGGGGCGAGCGUUGUCCGGAUUCAUUGGGCGUAAAGCGCGCGCAGGCGGCUCCGCAAGUCGGCCGUGAAAUCUCCGGGCUCAACUCGGAGGGGUCGGGCGAGACUGCGGGGCUCGAGGUGGGCAGAGGGUAGUGGAAUUCCGGGUGUAGUGGUGGAAUGCGUAGAGAUCCGGAGGAACACCAGUGGCGAAGGCGGCUACCUGGGCCUGGCCUGACGCUGAGGCGCGAAAGCGUGGGGAGCGAUCCGG
rnacentral:rRNA from 1 species